UGGGGAAUUUUGGACAAUGGAGACGCAAUGCUGCACCAAGCAUGCCGCGUGUGUGAAGAAGGCCUUCGGGUUGUAAAGCACUUUUGUCCGGAAAGAAAUCCUUGGCUCUAAUACAGUCGGGGGAUGACGGUACCGGAAGAAUAAGCACCGGCUAACUACGUGCCAGCAGCCGCGGUAAUACGUAGGGUGCAAGCGUUAAUCGGAAUUACUGGGCGUAAAGCGUGCGCAGGCGGUUUGCUAAGACCGAUGUGAAAUCCCCGGGCUCAACCUGGGAACUGCAUUGGUGACUGGCAGGCUAGAGUAUGGCAGAGGGGGGUAGAAUUCCACGUGUAGCAGUGAAAUGCGUAGAGAUGUGGAGGAAUACCGAUGGCGAAGGCAGCCCCCUGGGCCAAUACUGACGCUCAUGCACGAAAGCGUGGGGAGCAAACAGGAUUAGAUACCCUGGUAGUCCACGCCCUAAACGAUGUCAACUAGUUGUUGGGGAUUCAUUUCCUUAGUAACGUAGCUAACGCGUGAAGUUGACCGCCUGGGGAGUACGGUCGCAAGAUUAAAACUUCAAAGGAAUUGACGGGGUCAUAGCUGUUUCCU
rnacentral:rRNA from 1 species